CAGGAUGAACGCUAGCGGCAGGCUAACACAUGCAAGUCGAGGGGCAGCGGGAUGUAGCAAUACAUUGCCGGCGACCGGCGGAUGGGUGCGUAACGCGUAUGCAACCUACCUUAUACAGGGGAAUAACCUUUCGAAAGGGAGACUAACACCCCAUGGUAUUGAUUUAAGGCAUCUUAGAUUAAUUAAAUAUUUAUAGGUAUAAGAUGGGCAUGCGUAUGAUUAGCUAGUUGGUAAGGUAACGGCUUACCAAGGCGACGAUCAUUAGGGGUUCUGAGAGGAAGGUCCCCCACACUGGUACUGAGACACGGACCAGACUCCUACGGGAGGCAGCAGUGAGGAAUAUUGGUCAAUGGGCGCAAGCCUGAACCAGCCAUGCCGCGUGCAAGGAAGACGGCCUUAUGGGUUGUAAACUGCUUUUACAUAAGACUAACCGUAUAUUUGCGAAUAUACCUGAAUGUAUUAUGAGAAUAAGGAUCGGCUAACUCCGUGCCAGCCGCCGC
rnacentral:rRNA from 1 species